rnacentral:lncRNA from 1 species
CUGACCAUCCACCUCCACUAUAAAUUCAGGUUUCCUAACUUUUGUUCGCAGCUCAACAGUGCAUGUGAUUCAAUUUAAUUUUUGACAUGACAUUGACGUUUUGAGGUGAUGGUCCCUAAAAUCUAUUAAUAUAUGUUGUUCUCCAAGAAAAAAAAAAAGAAUUUUAACAAAAAAAUUUCGAUAUUGUUUAUUCAUAUUUUUACUUUAA